rnacentral:rRNA from 1 species
CGUCUUGGUUAUUGAUGUUAAGUGCUUGCAUUUAAUUGACUUAACAUUGAGACGAGUGGCGAACUGGUGAGUAACACGUGGGUAACCUGCCCUUGAAGUAGGGGAUAACACUUGGAAACAGGUGCUAAUACCGUAUAACAACCAAAACCACCUGGUUUUGGUUUAAAAGAUGGCUUCGGCUAUCACUUUAGGAUGGACCCGCGGCGUAUUAGCUUGUUGGUAAGGUAACGGCCUACCAAGGCAAUGAUACGUAGCCGACCUGAGAGGGUAAUCGGCCACAUUGGGACUGAGACACGGCCCAAACUCCUACGGGAGGCAGCAGUAGGGAAUCUUCCACAAUGGACGAAAGUCUGAUGGAGCAACGCCGCGUGAGUGAUGAAGGGUUUCGGCUCGUAAAACUCUGUUGUUGGAGAAGAACAGGUGUGAGAGUAACUGUUCACAUCUUGACGGUAUCCAACCAGAAAGCCACGGCUAACUACGUGCCAGCAGCCGCGGUAAUACGUAGGUGGCAAGCGUUGUCCGGAUUUAUUGGGCGUAAAGCGAGCGCAGGCGGUUUCUUAGGUCUGAUGUGAAAGCCUUCGGCUUAACCGGAGAAGUGCAUCGGAAACCAGGAGACUUGAGUGCAGAAGAGGACAGUGGAACUCCAUGUGUAGCGGUGAAAUGCGUAGAUAUAUGGAAGAACACCAGUGGCGAAGGCGGCUGUCUGGUCUGUAACUGACGCUGAGGCUCGAAAGCAUGGGUAGCGAACAGGAUUAGAUACCCUGGUAGUCCAUGCCGUAAACGAUGAGUGCUAAGUGUUGGAGGGUUUCCGCCCUUCAGUACUGCAGCUAACGCAUUAAGCACU